AGUAUCACACCCUUCAGUAAUCCUAUAUCAUACAUUAAAAAGAAGAUUAUUCGCAUAGUGAAAUUCUUAGGUGUCAUCUUCCAGAUUUAUUCUCAAUUUUUGAUAAGUGUGUUCAUCAUUAAAAUUUUCAUGCCUUCGGUCAUCAAUAUCAUGACUUUUAUUACCAUCAUAACACUUGCAUCAAACUAUUUUCAUUACACCACACUUUUUAUGACUUAAUCUGAGUUUUUUAUCCUCCUUUUCCGUUUGCUUUAUAUGUACACAUAACCUAAAUUUUCAAAUUUCUAAUUUUGAAUUCAAAAUCAAAAUUAUGAUUCACUCCAUUCUUUGUUUUCAGUUUUAUCUCUUCCUCCUCUUCUUCGGUUCUUCUCCUUCUUCACCUUCUUCACCUUCAGUUCCUCUUCCAUUUUUCUCCUCCAUUCAUUGAUUAUGUUUUUGUAUAAUCUUCUUCUUCUUCCUAAUUUAAGUUGGAGGUGGAGAUUAUAGAGUUCAUGUAAGCACCAAGGCAAAAUUACGACCGUGGAUGAGGUUGUGACAGCUAUGGUGGUGGAUCAUAAUAUGGCGGCGGUGUUGCAGUGGGUGCGGUGGAGUUUGUGGUGGUCAUCGAUGAUGUGGUGAUGGAUACGGAAGAGGCAACGGCGGAAGAGAGCAAAUCGAUGGAAAGUACUGAGUCGCGCGGCCACAGAGAGCACAUGCAGUGACACUAUGAAAGAGAGCACAACAGCGAUUUGAUAUUUUUUAUAUUUUUCUUUAUCUUUCUAUCCAGGGAAGCAGAGGAAAAAAGUAGAGACACGAUAGGGAGGAGCGAGAGAUGCAUACUGGCGUCGACAACAAUGGGAUGAUUCCGAUGGAGAUAGACGGCACGGAAGAGAAGUCACAGUUGUAGCGCCGAAAGCGCCAGCAACGGUCUUGGGGCGAUAAUUCUGUAUGCUCUGCUUAUAGUCUUCUUUGUUUGGUGUGGAGUUGUUGAUGCAGAAAAUCCAGAACCUCAUUGUUGUUGCUGGGAUUCUAUUUGCAUUUCGCUAAAAGAGUAAUUUAGGAACUAAGACAAAAGAAGUUCUUGCUGUGUAGCUACUGAGGAAGGGUUUAGGAUUUUGUCCGCGAGUAAUUGAUGGGAUCAUCGGUAUAUUUGCUAUUCAAGUGUGUUUAAUUAACUGCUCUAUUUAAAAUUUUUGUUUUCUGCAUUGAUUUUUUGCUUUUCUCAUUUACUGAUGUCACUGUUAAGGGUAGAAAAUAGAAGAGGAUAAUAAUGAUCAUGCUUAGUAAAAUAUAUAAUAGUGAUUAUAAUUAUAAUUACCCAGAGUGCCAAUACCGAAUUAGUACAUGGCACUACUAGCCUCUAUCAAGUAUAAGAGCAAUUUUGCUGGCGUUGAUUUCAUGUUUAAUAUGACUUUUAGAUGGUGCCAGGUUUUCCUUCCUCUUAGAUAAAGGAACUAAUUAGCUUUAGGGCAAUUUGUACCCUAGGAAACUUUGAAAGUUUUAUACUUAUGUUAACUUUACUACAUGAUUCGUUCUUCUUUCUAUGCUUAAUAUUGCGUGCAUCUUAUUUUGAAUUAAUAUUGUUACCAUAGAAUAUAAAAUAGAGAGAAAUCUAUUAACAGAAUACAACUUUGAGCAGUCAAUUUCCGUGAUGUUCAUUUAGACUCGGCCUUUAAACGUUUUAACCAGUUUGUGCUAUUAUUGGGAGAAUCCUUGGACUAAGUAUAUUAUUCAGCCAUAUUUCUUUCAGGUUUCAUAAUAUCUAUAACGGACUAAUUUGAGUAUUCUUACAAUAUCAAGGCAAUAUUUGGAAAAGGAGAUCCUCUCAACAACUUUUUCUUUUUUUUUUUUUUAUGCUUUUGAUGGGAAGGGAAUUAUAGAGAAUAUUCCCAAUUUAAAUACUCUGAUAAUUUAUGACUGAAGCACCACAAACCUUAAGAGUGGAAAGUUAACACUGUCCAGAACAAGAAGAAAUAGACCCUUUUAAGUGCACAAUGUUCUGGUUAUUGUUAGCUAUUAAUUUAUAUUUUUAGUUGCUAAUUUAUUUAGGCUAAUUUCAAUUUACUAUUAGAGUUUUCUUGCUGUAGUAGAUACAAAUGAAACGAUUAUUUGUUGUACGUGGGCAUUAGGCAAUCUAUAAACAUGUUUCUUUGAAGUAUCGAAACCCGAUGGUUAAAGCCUUUUCUUUAAGGAGAACUGUGGUUGGUAAACGUGAUGUAUAUGUUUUUAGGACGUUUCUUAUAUGGGAAAAGUAUUUUUGGGACCUUUAAGGUCCAUGAAACAUUUGAUAUUAAUGAAUAUUUGAGUUGCCGGUUCAUAAAUAUUUUUAAGUUAGAAAAUUUAAAUUAUUGAAAGUAGAAUGGCCGGGUUUGUGAUAAGUAGUAAUACUGUAGCAGUAUCAUUGUCGCUAUUAUUAUUAUUAUUAUUAUUAUUAUUAUUAUUAUUAUUA